rnacentral:lncRNA from 1 species
UUCAAGUUUGAUUGAUUUUCUUUAUUGAUCGAGUCUAAUGUGUGCAGGUCGAGUCAUUCCAUUCACGAAUUAGUCCCAACCUAUUUCAUGUGUGGAUUACUUUCUUNNNNNNNNNNNNNNNNNNNNAUUCCAUUCACGAAUUAGUCCCAACCUGUUUCAUGUGUGGACUACUUUCUUCCACUUGUUCAUGAAGCUACCCAUUCCUUGUUCCACGUCAUCUUCCCCGUGUGCACCAAGCUUCCCAUCUUAGCAAAACAGAAGCCUCCCCCAGUUCCUCCCCAUGUCCGAGUCUAAGCCCUCUCUUUCCUUCUCCGAAUCUCUCAGCUUCUUCCGCUAGAUCCCAGCCUAUCCACGGAUAAGGUCACACAUCAUUCCUACUCUUCCAUGUCCUCAACCGAAUCCAACGUCUUCCUAGAUUUCCUCUCAGCCACAUCCAGCCAACGACAGCAUCCUCAAACUCCCGGAUUGAUCCCAGCCAAGCCAAAUCAAAUUCAAAUCUUCAAACCAUUCUCCCAAUCAUCUUACCCCUUCGAGAUCCUCCCAAACGGAACAGAGUUUCCCAUGUCCUCCACAUAUUUCUCUGCUUUGGAAUCAAGUCCCAGAUCCCAUCUUCUCCGUGAUCCUCUUCUUCCUGAUUCCUCUCAUUCACAAUAGCCUUCCACCACCCACGAAUCAAGUCCCAGAUUCAUCCAAACAUCUUCCCGUUCAUGUGUAUUCCGGCAUCUCCUCCUAGCCGUUAACAUCAUCACAACUGCAUCAUCCCCUGUUCCCAGCAGAAGGAUUCUUCCCAGCCGAAGGAAAUCAAACAUUCAAACCUAGCAAAUCCCAUGACUUCCUCCCAGCAAAUCUCAGUGUCCUCUUGUUCACAGCCGUCUUCCCUUCAUCUCGAUCGCACCCAGCUGCCUAUCCUCUGCAGAUCCAACUCAAAGUCUUCCGAAUCCCCUGCAUCAUAGAACAGAGUUUAUCUUCUCCAAAAAUCAAGCAUUUCAUUCCACGUUCACCCUCAUCCUUCCCAAACUUAUCCACCCUAGUGUCUGUUCUCAACAUCCUCCUUCCGAAUUCCCCAGCUGCCCAACAUCCCAGCGGUUUUUCGUGAUCCAUCCAUAUCCCACACCCGAGUUGAAGCUCCCCUGCUUCG